GAGAGGCAGGAGCUUUCUAAGCCAGGAUGUGGAAAGACACCUGACUGCAGUUGCUGAUGAAAACAAUGUUCAUUCCCAGAUUGAUGAAAAACUGAGACUUUCAUUCUGCCAC